rnacentral:misc_RNA from 1 species
GAAAUGCGAUAAGUAAUGUGAAUUGCAGAAUUCAGUGAAUCAUCGAAUCUUUGAACGCACAUUGCGCCCCCUGGUAUUCCGGGGGGCAUGCCUGUUCGAGCGUCAUUUCACCACUCAAGCCUCGCUUGGUAUUGGGCAACGCGGUCCGCCGCGUGCCUCAAAUCGACCGGCUGGGUCUUCUGUCCCCUAAGCGUUGUGGAAACUAUUCGCUAAAGGGUGUUCGGGAGGCUACGCCGUAAAACAACCCCAUUUCUAAGGUUGACCUCGGAUCGGGUAGGGAUACCCGCUGAACUUAAGC